rnacentral:rRNA from 1 species
AGUGAACGCUGGCGGUAGGCCUAACACAUGCAAGUCGAACGGCAGCACAGUAAGAGCUUGCUCUUACGGGUGGCGAGUGGCGGACGGGUGAGGAAUACAUCGGAAUCUACUUUUUCGUGGGGGAUAACGUAGGGAAACUUACGCUAAUACCGCAUACGACGUACGGGUGAAAGCAGGGGAUCUUCGGACCUUGCGCGAUUGAAUGAGCCGAUGUCGGAUUAGCUAGUUGGCGGGGUAAAGGCCCACCAAGGCGACGAUCCGUAGCUGGUCUGAGAGGAUGAUCAGCCACACUGGAACUGAGCCACGGUCCAGACUCCUACGGGAGGCAGCAGUGGGGAAUGUUGGACAAUGGGCGCAAGCCUGAUCCAGCCAUACCGCGUGGGUGAAGAAGGCCUUCGGGUUGUAAAGCCCUUUUGUUGGGAAAGAAAAGCAGCAGGUUAAUACCCCGCUGUUCUGACGGUACCCAAAGAAUAAGCACCGGCUAACUUCGUG